UACGGGGGGAGCAAGCGUUGUUCGGAUUUACUGGGCGUAAAGGGCGCGUAGGCGGCCUCUGCAAGUCGACUGUGAAAUCUCCGGGCUUAACCCGGAACGGUCAGCCGAUACUGCAGGGCUAGAGUGCAGAAGGGGCAACUGGAAUUCUCGGUGUAGCGGUGAAAUGCGUAGAUAUCGAGAGGAACACCUGCGGCGAAGGCGGGUUGCUGGGCUGACACUGACGCUGAGGCGCGCAAGCUAGGGGAGCGAACGGGAUUAGAUAACCCCGUAGUCC
rnacentral:rRNA from 1 species